rnacentral:lncRNA from 1 species
AUUCACAUCUCUAUAGUUAUAGAACCAAGAUUUAACAAGACACAUAUGAACAGUAGCACCUGAGUCUAAUACCCACUCAAUGUCACAAUCAAUAUUAGAAAUAUUCAUGACAUGUAUGUUAUCACGAGCACCAUUUAACUCGAUGUCAAAAUCUCCUAACACGGUCAUAACAUGUAGGCAAUCGAGGGAAUCACUUAUAGCAACUAAGUUCUGAUCAUCAUUUUGCUGCGGUCUUUGUUUCCUUUUAAAGUCAUUACAGUCUUUCUUGAACUACCCUAACUUGCCACAAUGGAAGCAUUUCUUACCACUCUUAUCUCUAGACUUAGACCUACCCUUUGAUUUUCCUCUGCCCUUCUUACUUUGAAAAUGGUUCUCCCUCGUCUCAUUCCUCCAUCUAGCAAACAAACUCUCUUAUCUCGAACUACCCCUCGACUCUUUCUUAAGCUCUAGCUCUCUAGCCCUCAAAGCAUCAGUCACAAUAUCUUGGGUCAAAGUAUCCCUAGCAUACGUGAUAGCAUUCCUAACAUCUCUAUAAGAUUCGGGCAUAGCAUUUAAAAGUAUAACCGCUAGAUACUCAUCAUCAAAUUUCUUGUCCUUGUGGGCCAAACACUUGACGAGUCUAUUGAAGUCACUUAAAUUUGAUUCAAGAUCCUUUUCCGGGAACAGUUUAAAACUAAACUAUUUUUGAAGAAAAUGUAUUUUGUUUGGA